GCAGACACACUCUGUUCUUUGCUGCUCCCUCCAGCCAGGGACUUUUUCUGUCUGCCACAUGAACAUGCAGAAUGUAACACAUUGCUGGCUCUCUAAAAGGCUGGUGUCACUAUGUUCUGCUACAGUUCA
rnacentral:snoRNA from 1 species